rnacentral:rRNA from 1 species
GGCAAUGGAAGAAACUCUGACCGAGCAACGCCGCGUAAUGUCGAAAAAGUACUUUGAUAUGUAAAGUUCUUUUAUCAAGGAAGAAAAGCAAAAUGGCGAACCAUUUGUUUGCCGGUACUUGAUGAAUAAGCCCCGGCUAAUUAUGUGCCAGCAGCCGCGGAAAGUGUUAGACAUAAGGGGCAAGUGUUAUCCGGAAUUAUUGGGCGUUAAAAAGGGUGGCGUAGGCGGUCUAGUAAGUCAGUGGUGUAAUGGCAACGCUUAACGUUGUCCGGCUAUUGAAACUGCUAAACUUGAGUUAGAUAGAGGCGAGUGGAAUUCCAUGUGUAGCGGUAAAAUGCGUAAAUAUAUGGAGGAACACCAGAGGCGUAGGCGGCUCGCUGGGUCUUAACUGACGCUGAGGCACGAAAGCGUGGGGAGCAAACAGGAUUAGAUACCCUGGUAGUCCACGCCGUAAACGAUGAGUACUAAGUGUCGGGUUAAACCGGUACUGAAGUUAACACAUUAAGUACUCCGCCUGAGUAGUACGUACGCAAGUAUGAAACUUAAAGGAAUUGACGGGACUCCGCACAAGCGGUGGAUCAUGUUGUUUAAUUCGAAGAUACCCGAAAAACCUGUACCAGGUCUUACAUGUUUUUGCAAAAUGAUAGUAAUAUCGUGGAGGUUACCAGAAACACAGGUGGUGCAUGUUGUCGUCAGCUCGUGUCGUGAGAUGUUAGGUUAAGUCCUAAAACGAGCAAACCCUUAUCGUUAGUUGCCAGCACGUUACAAGAGGUAGGACUUUAACGAGAAACUGCCAAAUGAUAAAUUGGAGGAAGGUGAGGAUCACGUACAAUCAGCAUGCCCCUUAUGACCUGGGCUACAAACGUGAUACAAUGGCUGUUACAAAGAGUAGCUGAAACC